UUAUGCAUCAUAGCGCGUAUGUACCCGAGGGCCAACCUAAUAAAAGGCGCGCUGCGUUCCUCAGUCCCGCUCUGUGUAUUCGAAGAAGGGCUAUAACACAUCCGAGGAUGCCACGUUCCCUCCAACCUUUUCCACAGAUCGAAACUGAUGCUGGCCUGCCAACCGAGAAGUACACCGACAGAAUCGGCUGAGUCUCGGAAAGCAUGACUGACUUCAAUCGUUUCCCUUUUAACAAUUUCACGUACUGUUUAACUCUCUUUCCAAAGUGCUUUUCAUCUUUCCCUCACGGUACUUGUUCGCUAUCGGUCUCUCGCCAAUAUUUAGCUUUAGAUGGAAUUUACCACCCAUUUUGAGCUGCAUUCCCAAACAACUCGACUCUUCGAGAUCGCAUCACAAAGCAUUGGUAAUCUGUGUCAAGGACGGGAUUCUCACCCUCUAUGACGCCCUGUUCCAAGGGACUUGUACACAGGCCAACGCGGAAAACGAUUCUCUAGACUACAACUCGGACGACCUGAGGCCGCCAGAUUUUAAAUUUGAGCUCAUCCCGCUUCACUCGCCGUUACUAGGGGAAUCCUUGUUAGUUUCUUUUCCUCCCUAUUGAGUUUGGA
rnacentral:rRNA from 1 species